AAGGCCCCUACUUUAACUAAAAGCAGGACAGGAGAGCACAGGCCAGGACGGGCCUCGGAGGGAGCCUAUGGAGGGAGAAGCGCCAUGCUGCAGGCCUUCGCUAACAUCUGCUCCUGUUUGACGGCCCAGUUUCUGUGCUGCCUUUUUCCAGGGAAAAGACCAAAACAUGAGGCUGUACAUACCACAGCACCCAUGGGCAUUCAGUUAUGGAUAUAUGCAAGAGAGAGACUCCCUGCACCACUUACAAGGCAGCCAGAGAGACUUUAACUGCAUUCACUGUGUAUUUAAUGUAUAACGUUUCAUUUCCAUGUUUGUUUGCUGAAUAAUUGAUAUAUCUGCAUUAUUUAUACAAUUCUGCAAUGCUUUCUUUAGCUUUUAAUUGCAAUACAACGAUUUUGAACUUCAAUUUCAAAAUGUUCUUACUCUAUAAAGAACUAUUGAACCACAACACAAAAACACCAAGUUGUUAAUCUGAAACUAUUUUCCUGGCAGCCCAUGUGAGCAUUAACCCUUGGUGUGCCGAACUCCCAGAUUUUAAUGCAGCGUGAAGGUCAGUUCUUUCUUGCAAGUCUAUUGAUGAUAGCAGACUAUUAGACUUAUCAUAAACAAUGAUACUGCACCGGUACUGACAAACGCGGCAUUAGGCUUAAAUUAAAUUCGAUGAAAGCAUAAAAAGCAUUUUAAAAAACAAACUCUUUAAAGCUUUACUAAAGGAUUUCAGUUUCACAGAUCCGUAGAGUGUAAAGUAUAUCCUGACCUUCGGCCAAAACAGUCAGCAAACGAGGCCCUCUCUUUUCUGUUGCAAAAAUAAUUUUCACUGAACCGAGACUCAAAACAAGCGGAUGGCGUCAUCGCCUUUAUUUCCAGAGUCUCGGGAGUGACUCUCACCGACCCCCGAAGUACCCCGCCAUGCCGUCGUUCCUCUCAUUUUCUAUAUUCCAUUUGGAUGUUUCACAGAUUCUUUAUUGAACGUCAGGAGGUCCAUACAUCACGAACUGACUUGUUGCAGAAACUCGAAGGAACUGGAGGGCCGAAAUGGAGGAAAGGUGAGCAGAGAGAACGAGAGAGUUCUCGGUCUAGAUGAGUAACACCCACACCGUGCCUGUAUGAGUUUCAGGUGAGUGUAUGGGGGUGACUUUGCUGCUUCCU